rnacentral:rRNA from 1 species
AUUGAACGCUGGCGGCAGGCUUAACACAUGCAAGUCGAGCGGAGAUGAGGUGCUUGCACCUUAUCUUAGCGGCGGACGGGUGAGUAAUGCUUAGGAAUCUGCCUAUUAGUGGGGGACAACAUUUCGAAAGGAAUGCUAAUACCGCAUACGUCCUACGGGAGAAAGCAGGGGAUCUUCGGACCUUGCGCUAAUAGAUGAGCCUAAGUCGGAUUAGCUAGUUGGUGGGGUAAAGGCCUACCAAGGCGACGAUCUGUAGCGGGUCUGAGAGGAUGAUCCGCCACACUGGGACUGAGACACGGCCCAGACUCCUACGGGAGGCAGCAGUGGGGAAUAUUGGACAAUGGGGGGAAACCCCUGAUCCAGCCAUGCCGCGUGUGUGAAAGAAGGGCCCUUAAUGGUUGUAAAAGUACCU